CCGAGUUUCACUCCCAAACCCCUGUGAACACCUAUACGUUGCCUCGGCGGAUCAGCCCGCGCCCCGUAAAACGGGACGGCCCGCCCGAGGACCCCUAAACUCUGUUUUUAGUGGAACUUCUGAGUAAAACAAACAAAUAAAUCAAAACUUUCAACAACGGAUCUCUUGGUUCUGGCAUCGAUGAAGAACGCAGCAAAAUGCGAUAAGUAAUGUGAAUUGCAGAAUUCAGUGAAUCAUCGAAUCUUUGAACGCACAUUGCGCCCGCCAGUAUUCUGGCGGGCAUGCCUGUUCGAGCGUCAUUUCAACCCUCAAGCUCAGCUUGGUGUUGGGACUCGCGGUAACCCGCGUUCCCCAAAUCGAUUGGCGGUCACGUCGAGCUUCCAUAGCGUAGUAAUCAUACACCUCGUUACUGGUAAUCGUCGCGGCCACGCCGUAAAACCCCAACUUCUGAAUGUGACCUCGGAUCAGGUAGGAAUACCCGCUG
rnacentral:rRNA from 1 species